rnacentral:rRNA from 1 species
GUCUAUGGCCACACCACACCAGAUGUGCGGGCCAGGCUAGUACUUGCUCGGGAGACCUCCUGGAAAUUCGGAUGUUGUAGAUG